rnacentral:rRNA from 1 species
GACGAACGCUGGCGGCGUGCUUAACACAUGCAAGUCGAACGGAAAGGCCCUGCUCUUGUGGGGUGCUCGAGUGGCGAACGGGUGAGUAACACGUGAGUAACCUGCCCUUGACUUUGGGAUAACUUCAGGAAACUGGGGCUAAUACCGGAUAGGAGCUCCUGCUGCAUGGUGGGGGUUGGAAAGUUUCGGCGGUUGGGGAUGGACUCGCGGCUUAUCAGCUUGUUGGUGGGGUAGUGGCUUACCAAGGCUUUGACGGGUAGCCGGCCUGAGAGGGGGACCGGCCACAUUGGGACUAAGAUACGGCGCAGACUCCUACGGGAGGCAGCAGUGGGGAACAUUGCACAGUGGGCGGAAGCCUGAUGCAGCAACGCCGCGUGCGGGAUGACGGCCUUCGGGUUGUAAACCGCUUUCGCCUGUGACGAAGCGUGAGUGACGGUAAUGGGUAAAGAAGCACCGGCUAACUACGUG